GAUGAACGCUAGCGGCAGGCCUAAUACAUGCAAGUCGAACGGGAUCCAGAUCAAAGCUUGCUUUGGUCUGGUGAGAGUGGCGCACGGGUGCGUAACGCGUGAGCAACCUACCCUUGUCAGGGGGAUAGCCCGGCGAAAGUCGGAUUAAUACCGCAUGACAUCAUUGAGAGGCAUCUUUCGAUGAUCAAAGAUUUAUCGGACAAGGAUGGGCUCGCGUGACAUUAGCUAGUUGGUAAGGUAACGGCUUACCAAGGCUGCGAUGUCUAGGGGCUCUGAGAGGAGAAUCCCCCAAACUGGUACUGAGACACGGACCAGACUCCUACGGGAGGCAGCAGUAAGGAAUAUUGGUCAAUGGACGGAAGUCUGAACCAGCCAUGCCGCGUGCAGGAGGACGGCCCUAUGGGUUGUAAACUGCUUUUAUACGGGAACAAACGUCGGUACGUGUACCGGUCUGAGUGUACCGUAAGAAUAAGGAUCGGCUAACUCCGUG
rnacentral:rRNA from 1 species